UUUUUUUUGAAUUUAAAUAAUAUAUUUUGGACACCUUUUAGAGAUAAUUUUUAUGGAAUAACUCAAUUUCAUAAAUUGGAAAAAAAUUGUAUUUGAUGAUUUCAUUGGCAUGGAGUCCACCAUAAUUUGUGAUCUUUAUUCGUGAAAGUAUGAAAUAACUAAUUUCGAUCAUAAACAAUUCCACUCACUAUUUUAUUCUCUUCUCUAUUUUACUUGAUCACCAAUUUCAUUAUUUGAAUCCAAACAUAACAUUAAUUUAAAAUAUUUUAUAGGGCGGAUGGUGAAAAAAAAGAGAGUAGAAUAGAGUUGAGAAUUUUUAAUUAGUUUAUUAAAUUUAGUUCUAUACCUGGCCCGACUCGGAUUGCCUUCAAGGGGUAACUCUUCCAGCUCCAGCUUCAGCAAUAAAAAGAAUGGGAUUUGCGGAAUCACAAUGUAGAACAAGGUAAAUUCUCUCUUUUUCCGUCCAUAAUCAUUAGCUAUCGAUCUGUCUAUAGCAAUGCCUCAGUUUUAUGCCAAUCUAAUUUGGGUUUUCUCAUUCAAUUUGAAAUACCCUUGUCGUUACUGGUAUAUAAUGUGUGAUCGAAUUAGGUAUAAACGAUGAUAAUAGCUGUGGUUUCGUAUCAAAAUGGUCCAGGCCGCCAUUGCAAAUGCGAGCUAUACAUAUAUACAUGAUGACAGAGGUCCUCUUCAAGCCCUCGAUACUCACCAUAUUGUUGUUCGACGAAAUGCCGCAAUGGGGUUCAUCUUAUA
rnacentral:lncRNA from 1 species